CUUCAGCUUUGGGCCACAGCUAGUUCCAUGAACAGUUAGUUUUAUCAUUUUGGUUAAAUGUAUGACAGACAAGUUAUAUUUGCGGGUUACAGACUUAAAAGCUUUAUAUGAGGCAAAAAUUCCAAAUACCUCCAAGAAGCACAUAUUUAUUGCUUAUUAAUCCCUCUGGUUCUUGCCAUCACAAUCCACCCCUUGCUUCUUUGGAGCAUUUGGUAAGGCUUACAAAUAUGAUUUCUGCCAGGUGGUGUAUACAUGGUUGGCAGAAGCAACAACAUUUACUUUGGCAUGAGUAUUAAACUUCAUUUUAUAACAACAACGUUUAAAGAUUAUAUUGAAUAAUAAUAUUCCUAUGACUAAACUUAGUACUCCUACAAACCAAGGAAAAGCAGCACCUUUAGUAAAGGUAUACAUUUGCACAGUACAGACCACUUCACACCACUUACGCAGCGGGGGAAUAUUAGUAGCGCAUUUAAUAAUUCGCCCUCCCUCUUGAGCUAUGAGGGCAAGUUGUUUUCCUUUUGGGGCAUCUUCGAACAAACCUUUUAUGUGGGCCACUACUUUACCCCAUUCCUUUAGCUGGGGCAUGUCUACAUCUUUAACCCAGGAUUUUGGAAGGCUUAGGUUAAGGGUGACGCUUUCUAAUUGGGUUUUCGGCCACAUUAAGGUGGCUUCCUGGUCUUGGACGUAUAGGGUAGCUGAUUCCCCUGGGAAAUCUUGAGCUUCUGCA